rnacentral:lncRNA from 1 species
GUUUAGAGCACUUAAGUUUCGAUGUGAGCAUCUUUAGAGCUCUCUUCUGUUUGGUAUGGUGACUAGUCACAUUCGAGAUGGUGAUUGCCCCAGCCGUCUGGGUUCCUGAGUGACUUCUACCAUAUGAACAAAACCUCUGGGUUUAUUUACAUGGGCAUGUGAGGGAGACAUAAAUAUUUUGGUACAAACUACUGCAGUUAGGGAAUUUUUGUUUUUCGUGCCUAACCUAACUUAUCUUGACCAAUACAGGAAUGAAUCCUGAAAGCAGAGUGCUGCCAUUAAAAAAAAAUCUAAACUAAACUACCUAUUACAGUGGCUUGGGUGAUAGAUGGUAAUGCUGCAUGAAGUGAUCCACAUUCUACCAUGCUGAGGGUCUAAUCAGCCCUCGGUAAUUGGGACCUCAGAACAGGGACUCUGAGACCUGAAGGGGAAGACCUACUGAAGUGCGAAAGGAACAGAAACAGAUGUUGGGGAACUCCAUGGGAUGAAUCCAGAAGCCAGCUGUUUAAAAAGGUGAAACAUUGCUUCACUCACUUUUGGAACUUCAGAAAGCACUGGAUUAGAUCUUUCCGCAGCCCAGAGAGUAAUGCUUAGGGGAGCUCUGGCAUAUUAAACAUCUUACAGGCAUUUCCUACAAUCCUCAAGGCCAAAUUCCAAAAGUGGAACAUGCACAUCUCUCCUUAAAAACCAAAUUACAAAGACAAACAGGGAGUACAGCUACCUCCACAAAUGCAAUUAGAUCUUGCCACUUUCACUUUAAAUGUUUUUAAUCCACUUGCAGACAGUAAAAGUACUCCAUCAGAGCUCCACUGGCAGAAGGAUGAUGCUGUGGAUAAGCUCAAGGCACACAUUUUAUGGAAAGAUGUCCAAAUAGGAAAGUGGAAUGGGCCAGUGCAACUAAUAACAUGGGGAUGAGGGUGUGCCUGUAUUUAAACAGAUAAUGGUACACUGUUAUGGGUGCCAUCCCAGAAUGUGUGGUCACGGAGAGAGGACAACUGCAAACCUGUGGUGGAGCCUGCCACCACCAUACACUCCAGUGUAAGCUUUCUCUUGGAUGACCCUGGAAGAAACACUUCAGUCACUGAGAACCAUACAAGCAAUGAAACACAUGACAUGGGGUCAAGGGAAGAUGACCCAGGAAGCUGAGAAGUUGGUGGUGAGCCACAGGCUCCUGUGUUCCCCAGAAAAUACAUUUAUUGCUAUGAUGGCCAUAUCACUUUCACUGUAUGUAUAAGCCCUGUGUCCAGAAAGGAAUAUAGGGCAUAUGUACCAAAGCCACCUUUAUUAUGACCCCUUAUGUGGGCAAAUUAUUCUCCAGAAAUUCAUCAUGAACAGUUAGAUGGGUGCCAGGGCCUUAUAGGGCCCACAAAAUUGUAAAUAUUAAUAGCACCUUAAAUUAUACAUCACCUCUUAUAUCCACCCUUGUGCAUUGAGCCCAGGUCCUUACAAUCCAACUACUGCCUGUCCUUUCAGCCACAAAUUUGGGUGGCUCACCAGGAAAAACAGUUGAUGAUUCUAUCAACAGUUGGGAUCUAUCAAUAUCUCAGAGGAAUGGGUUAACAUCUCCAAGCCCAAUGUUCUCCUGUGUACACCUUAUACAUCUUGCAUUGCCACAGAUGAGCAUGCGUUCCCCCCGCCCCAACCUUGGGCCUCCUAUAAAGGAGACAAGGGACAAAAAAUGCACCAAAAUCAACUUGACUUUAUACAUUGGAACCCUUGAGUAAGACUAGUAGGGAG